AUACAGGGUAGCCUGGAGACCAAGGCUCUGUGGCAUUAUGAAAAGAAUCCCUGAAGUCGACCUCAAGCUGCACAGUGAGCUUUCUCCAAAAGGAGGCUUUCAUUUUGAAGACUCAGCUCCAUUCUAUAAUGCACGUAGCUCGAAAUAUAACAUAUCCGUGCCAAGGCUUUACCUUAUUAAUGACGAUAAACAGGUUAAAUAACAACUUGUGUCUAUGAGCCCAAAGAUCCUCCCAAAAUACUUCUUAAAAGCUGCAAACUGCAGCAGUUCACGCUCGGAAGCAUUGCGUUCACCUGCCAACCAAUGUCCAUAAUAUCACUUCAUAAAAAGAAUAAAUAAACUGAAAAUAAGGUCAGCUGGUCAUCAUGGACAGUCUGUGUCCCCAGCUUUGCAUCAGAGGUAUUUACAAUAAAUUAUUCCCCCAAAAGGUCUCUAGGAUGCAAAUAAAAGUACACAGCAUUUUAUAUAACUUUACUCACAUGACCAUUAUACUUAGUCAACCUAUUGACAGAAAUAUCUCCCCAAACAUCCAAACUUUUCAAAAAAGAAAAAAAAGAAAAGAAAAGAAAAAAAUUACAGGAAAUGUCCGAGGAAAGCAUAAAUGAUCCAGGGGGCGGGUAGUGGAGGGUAUGUCCUCAUGGAUCAUGUUGCUGAACAAAACGCCAUAAACUGAGCAUUAUUUCCAAAAAAUAUUGAAGAGAAAAAGUAAUAUUUUACAGACAUAGUUGAUGAGAAUGUUACAGAUCACCAGGAAAAAUAAACCUGUGGACCUGCUUCAAAGCCGCGUUACUAUGAACCAGCAUCGAAAAUGUGGAUCUGUUUGAAAACAGGCCAAGUUUAAGAGCCACAGAAUAGUGGUAGUGCUGGAAACUACUUUUUUUUUUUAAGGUUUACUCAUAAAUUUCUGCUGAACUGUCAGUAUUUAGGCAGGUCCCUGAGUUGGUUGUGAUAUGCCCAUCCUCAGUCAUAAGAAGAGGCCUGGCAUUCUCAAGGUAAAGCCCCUUCAAAGUGCACACAAGCAAGCUGAGUUUACUCUCAGAGCACAUUGGUCACCAUGCUUACUGGAUCUUUUUUUUUUUUUAAACGAGCAAUAAACGGUCCACGUUUUUCUUUCUGAAACUGGCUCUAACAUAUUAUAAAUAUUCCAGAAAGUUAAAUAAAUUGUAAAUCAGCUUUUAAAGACCCUCUCAUAAAACACACGAGCCUUUAUUCCCUGUUUAUUGUACGUUUUUCUUCACAAACUGCUACACCAAAUAAGCGGUUCUCUUAGUGGUGUGAAGGCCCAGCGAAUGCGUCAAUCAAAGCUGCCAAGUGUGUAGGAGGGAGAAAAGAGAAGGGAAGAAAAAAAAAACUUUCUUAAUGUGAUAAUAACUCAAGAGAAGCUAACCUUGUUAAGUCCCUGACUGUGCCCGAGGCCUGCAUGGAUUCGCAGGUAUGCUCCUGAAAUACACAACCCCAGACCAGAACUUUGAUCUUUUCAAAUCUCGCUCAAGAAGACAACGCUGUAUCCAUGAGGGUCUUUCUCGCCAUUGCAGCAUGCUGGUAUUACCUACAAGUCCUAUGUGUUGCAAACUUUUGCCAGCUAGAAUUUCACCCUUCGAAUCUCAGCACUUUCACUGCAGACUAUAAUUCAUUCAAAUUAUCUUACACUUUGCAUCUUAUCCAUAUGCAAUUGUGAACCUUGCCAGAAGUGGUUGGAGAAGUUUCAUUCCAUUCUUCCACAAGUUACUAAAAUAGUAACUUUGGAAGUUGCGGGGAGGGGUGGACUUUUACAAUAACUAAAACAACUGCUAUCCAUUAUUAAUGUGAGGCCUAAAUCCCAAACAGACCAUCUCCACAUAAAAGAUGCAUUUAAGAGUCUUCUGAGAUCAAAUAGCCAGUGUUAUUACUGUUAGAUACUGCAGUAAGAAGGGAAGUCAUAUGGGAAAUAAAUCCGAAUCUACAGUGGAGAGGAAAAGCUACUGAUACGUCCAGCCUUCCAAAGUAUUCCCGGUAAACCGUUACUCCAGCUCAUUGAAGGCACAGUGGUAGCAGGGUUUUGAGGGAGUCGUGAAGAAGCAUAUAACUUCAUGUAGGUGACUGCUGGUCAGGGUGCAAUGGUUUAAACCCAUAUAAAGACUCGUGCUUAAAGAGAAAAAAUUAGCGCAAAUCACUCUGACUUUAUGCCUUUUAGUCAGAGAAAAUAAAUAAUAUAUUCAAACGGGACUAGAUCCGGAGCCGCAAAAUAGCAGUGUUUCCUUACUGCUGGUGCAGACUAGACCGGGAGGGAUGGGCUGGGAGGCUCGGGCAAGAGGGGCAGGCGGAGGGGCGCCAGGCCCCACGCUGCGAGUGGGGCUGCACGGAAAGUUGCCGGGUCCUGCUUGCUGAGCCGCCUGGGGCUUGCCUAGGCGGCGGCGGCGGCGGAGCAGCCGACUCCGGCCCUGGCCGCCGCUCGCCCUCGAGCCGGAGCCCCACUCCGCCCGCAGCGGCCCAGCCCGGCCCGACCCGCGGCCUCGGCGGCUCUCUGGCCUGCGCGGCGUGGGCUCGCCGGAUCCUUAAACUUUCGCCUGGGGGUCGCGGGCUGGAGGCGAGGGACAACAAGGUCCUGGGCCGGCGCCGGGCGUGAGUCUACGCAGCCCACGGGCGAAGGCUCGCACCGCCCGCCGCGUCCGAGGGGCGCUGCCCGGGCCGGCCCGCAAAGCUGGCACAAAACAAAAGUAAGAGUUCGGGGCGUCGGCGGGGGGCGCGGCGGCGCGGGAGGACACUGGCAGCCAGAGCGCCAGGGUGCAGCCGGCGUGCGGGGUUUGCGGGGCUCAGCCGCCCCUCCCUGGAGCGGAGGAAUCGCGGGCACCGCGCUCCGCGCCGCAGACACCGAGUCCAGAUUGCAGCGUGUCAGGGGCUGCAGCGGCGGACACACGUGCGGGGCUCCCGCAAGACCCGGCGCUCCGCAGUCCGGCGCCCCGAUAUUAAUUAACGCAUUAAUAAGAGGGCGCCAUUAGCCAUGUGCCCACACAAAUGGCCGAGCCGGAGGAAUGCACCCGCAUGGAAACAAAGUUACUUUCUUAAAGCUGCAGCCCCCCACCCCCCCGCACACGCGCGCGCACACACAGAAACACGCGCAGACACGACUCCCGCCGAGGCACACGGCCGCCCCGCGCCCCCGCAGCUGCUUACCUGGCCUGGAAUCCUGUUCAAAGUAAGCGUGUGAACCCAUCCUUCUCAUCCUGGGCACAACACAAUAAUCGCAAGGGACUGAACAGAAUGUUAUCUAAGUGAGCUGCUGAGGUCACCAGGGAGGAGGAAACUGAAGGGGAGCUCACCAGGGUCAAGCCACCAUAUUCUACAGAUGAUAAACCUGAAGCUGGAAGAGUUAAGGAGCUGGCCACACCGCUGGUAAAGAAUUAACCCCCAGCCCAGUGCCAGGCUCAUGACAUCAUGCAGAAGCUACUCUGCAGGAACAGGGAGAGAGCAUGUGACUGUGUCUGCUACCAAAGUCUGAAAGGAGCCUGGGAAAAGAGACAUACUGUUAGUGAACUCGAUGGGAGUAAGAAAACAUUGAGUUAUUAAAACAAAGUCCAGGCUAGUAUUUAGAAUUGUACCUGCAUGUUUAGACAGUAAGGGAUCAUUUUCAGGUUGCAAGGAGGAUGAAGGUACAGCCUGAGAUGGGAAGGCUGUGUUUGGACUGUGGACUGUGCUCUCUACCCCUGGGGACUCUGGGCAGGUCAAUUUCUCUGGCAAACCCCUCUGACUACCUACUCUGUAAGACACACAUAUCGUCAGCCAUACUUUACUCAGAAGAUUUAGUGAGGAUCCCAUGCACUCAUGAAUGAGAAACUAGAAAACAAAACAAAACUUGAGAUUCUGUUCUGUGAGGGCCUGAACUAUCAGUAACUGUUAGUUUCUCCAGGCCUAUGAGGACAAAGAGAGCUACUGUUCAGUUACAGUUGUCAAUCCUGUAUUUUCUAGAUUUUGGAAUAGAGGUCUCUCUCUCUCUCUCUCUCUCUCUCUCUCUCUCUCUCUCUCUCUCUCACACACACACACACACACACACACACACACAUUCACUCACCCUCCAGCCCCCCCCACACAAUUAAAAUAAAUGAGAACUGUAUCUAAAAGUCCAUGCACUGAUAUCCUUUGCCCUUUAUUAAGACUGAUUUAAAAUUUGACCUUUAGGGCUGGGGAGAUGGCUCAGUAGAUCCCAUGCAAGCAUGCACAAAGACUUCAGUUUGAAUCUCUAGCACACAUAUAAAAGCUAGUUGUGGUCCCAUGUGUCUAUAACUCAGCACUAGGGUGUUAGGGGGUGGCAAGUCGAUUCUGGGAGCUCCCUAGCCAGCCAGCCAGCCAACCUAGCCAAAAUCUUUCUAAGCCCUCCACAUUUACACACACACACACACACACACACACACACACACACACAUACACACACACACACACACACACACACACGUACCCACACAUACACAUGUACACUCAUACACACACAUACACACAGAGAGACAAAAUUACUUUUGUCUUGAGUUUCUUAAUAAUAAAAGAGGAAAGGGUGAAAACUUAUGAAAUAUACAAUAUCCAUGAAAUAUUAUAAAAGCCUAGAAUGGAUUUCCAAAAGCAACACAGAGUUUUCUGAUGGUGGAAAUGUUCGACACACAUCUCCCAUUACAUCCUCCACCACUGCUGCUCUAUCCACCAUAGACAGUGGGGUCGCAGAGAGGUCAGCCUUCACUACGUUGCUCUUGGUGUGGGGAAAGGGAUGAGGAAGUGAAAUGGAUGGGAACCUUGUCCAAGGACUCCUCUGCCCUUGGCUAAUUGACUGGUCUAACUACAACAGUGCUCCCCUUGUGGUGAGGUGAAAUUUACCUAGUUUGUCAUGGAUACCUGGAAGAGCGAAUGAUCAGAAACAAGAAAGUAAGAGCAGAGCUGGAGUUUGGCGCCUGUGACCCAUGUUUUUUUUUCACAUUCAUGCUUAUAUUAAAAACACAACUUAUCAAAAAGUAGAAAGAGAGGAAAUAGGAACUGGGACCAGAUCGGCAUGGGUGCUGGCUUCAGAGUGUCUUUUCCUAUUCGAGUUCAAGCUCAGCCUCUCUUGACUUUUCUUUUUCACAAGAGUCACAGAAUGCAACCUGCCAAUAUCAACAAUGGAAGAUGCUGACAGUGGGUACGGCUGAGUUGGAACUGUCCUUCACGUUCUUGUUUGAAUCAGAUCAAGUAGGAGGUAUCUGUCUCAAAGCCCAGGAAAUAGGCUAAGAUCCCAGAAAGCAUUAUAGGAAAGGGCCAGGACCAGCUCUGACCCUGCCUUGGGAACUACUAGGGGAAAAGCCGUCUUUUCUCUUUUAAUACACACACACACACACACACACACACACACACACACACACACACACACACACAUAUAUAUAUAUAAUAGUAUUCAGGCCUUAACUAUCUGAAAUGUGCAACUUAGUAGCUUAAGUACAUUCACAGUGUGUACAGCUUUCUCUGCUGCCCAUCCCCAGAGCUUUUAUUCCUUUUCCUCAAACUGUGUCUCCCUUUUCUCUUCUCCUCUUCUCCAUGUAUGGUAAUGCCAUCCCACCCUCUAUCUCCACAAACCAUAUUAUAAGUGGAAUUGUACAGUGGUGGUCCUUUGGUGGCCAGCUUAUUUCACUUAGCACAGUGUCUUGAAGUUUCACUCUAGUGUUAGAUUUUCCUUUCUUGUUAAAGCUAGAUAAUGUAAACAAUGUCCCUCUGUGGGUGGGGGUAGGGUGCAAUUCAUUUGUUGACCAAUCCUUGGUUACUUGGGUCGUUUUUAAACCUUUUGCUGCUGUGAAUAUGGAUGGCCAUAACUGUCAUCGAGGCCCCGCUUUAAUGCUUUCUGAUACAAUUGUACAGAGGUUCAAUUGCCGGAGCACAGGGCAAAUAUCUUUUCCGUUUCUUUAAGAAGGAAAUACCAAGCUUAAUUUUUAUUUGGAGAAAAAUACUGAACAAAUUCUUGGGCGACUUUUGUCACUUAUGGGGGUAACUUCUUGGAUUUUAGUUCCGCAUUUUCUGAUUGUGUGAGCUUUGAAAAAUUGUUUGAUUUCUCAGGACCACCCUCAAUAUCCUCAUCGGAAAAGGGGAUCUCUUAACUUUCAGUGCUGGGUAUUAAACCCAGGGUCUUAUGCGAGCAAGGCAGGCACUCCACCACUAAGCUCAGCCUGAGCUCUGAAGAAUAUCUUUGAAUUAUUUGGUAUCUAAGCUCUUUUGAAAUCAUAAACAUCCAUUCUUCUGCAUAGUAAAAUUACAUAAAUUUAUUUCAGAAAUGCUUUCUGAAUGUAGAAAACCCAAAGGAUGAAGGCUGGGAAGAUGGCUGGCAGAAAACAACGAAACUGCCUGCUAGGAGGAGAGCAGGUGGAAGGCAUAGGCCGUGACCUGUGGCUAGGCUGUGAUUUUAUCACAGCACCCAAGAGUCACUAAAACCCAGGAGUGUAAAGAAGCUGGUAAUAAGACCAGCCUUUUUCCCCCUAGGAAAAUCACCACAGUAGCAAUAUGGAGAAUGAUUUUAUGGUUAUAAUAACAAGCUAGCUGCCACUUUCCUCCAUCAUACUAUUUCCCCUUUUACAUUUUAUUAAUAGGUUAAAAAUAUUAAACAGCAUUUCAUUGUAUCCCAGGCUAGCCUUGAACUUUCUAUACAGUCAAUGAGAGCCUUAAGUUUGUUUUUGAUUUUUUUUAAUCUUCCGGAACCUACCUUCAUGCUGCUGGGAUUAUGCUCAGUUUAUGGGGUUCUGGGGAUCACACCUUAGGCUUUGAAGGUGGAUGAGCACUGUAUCACCUGGGCCACAUUCAUGACUCUCUUUGUUAAAAAAAAGUAGGAAACCUAGUCAAAAUGCCAAGAAGCUAAGCUAAUCUGAAGCAAAAGACACUUAGUCAACAGCUUGGUUAAAAGGUGCUACAUUGUCCAUCUCUGCACGGUGGUGGGAAAGUCGCGGUUUCUCUUAAAGUGAAUACUGUUCUGCUGAACCGUUGACCUGAUGGUGGUGCAGUAAUGCCUUUAGGUUACUACUGGUUGGUAAAGCAGACAUGCCCUUUCAGUUAUUACUUCCUCAACUAAUAGUUUAGUAUUAUUAACACUAGAGCAAUUUAAAAUAAACAACUCUUAUGGGAGAUUACUAUUCCUUUGUUACAUUAAAAAUAAAUAUCGCUGCAGAGAGUAGCUCAAUGGUAGAUGUCUCUCCAGGCAUGAACAAGGCCCUGAGUUCUAUCUAUGGUCUGUCUACCUGUCUGUCUUCCCCCUCCCCUUCCCCUUCCCCCUCUUCCUCCUUCCCCUCCCCCAUACACACAUGCAAACAAACAAAUUAAACAUCACAAAAGUAUAUAUUUCAGUAAAUGGAAUUUUCCUUAAUAGAGGUAGUUUAAUCAUAACUUUGUAACUUAUUCUUUGUAAACAAUCCCCUGUUAAAGCCAGGGGUGAUGAUGCAUGCCUGUACUCCUAGAGACUGAGCCAGGAAGGUCAAAACUCUGAGGCCAGGGUUGCCUCAGAGAGAGAAGGAGGGGGAUGCUAGCCAGCCAACAUGGACUAGAUACUCAGUUCCUCUCUCAAAACUAAAUAGAUGGCAUAGUCUAUAAAAUCAUAGCACUAAAUAGAGAUGCUGUCCGCCCCCUUUAUAUGCCCCAGCUCUCUUUACUCUGAAAGUUAUAAAUACACUUCAUCCACAGAGUUUUUGUAACUAGGAAAACAAUGGGUGAUCCUAGUAGGCCGCUGUUUCAAUGGGCCAAGAAACAACUUGGUUUUAUUCUCUAAAAAUAAGUUAUUUUGGAGGAAAUACACAGGUUUUGGUAUGCAGAAGUCCUUGCUGUUUUGCAGAUAUUGGGAGUCAUCUAAUCAGUGAAAUGAGGCUGGAAAGAACAGCAUUUACCUUCAGAACAUUUUGUUAUUUGGCAUAGCAUUUGCUUUGUGUUUACCAAGGAAAGAGAACCAAAAGAGAACGAGGAAAGCCAGUUACAAAGAGGCCUCAGUGUGAGCGGCAUACUUGCUGCUAUGCUGCAAGCAGGGUCUGAGGAAGACCUGAAAACUUCAGGUUUUUCAUGUACUUGGUGUGUGCAUUGAUUGUAUGGUGGGAAAGGAAGUAGAUUUUUAUAGAAGCUAAGAGGUGAUGUGUGCUUCUGAGUUUACCAAUAUUCCUAUUCAUUUGCUAGCCCUCCUAAGAGAUAUACUAUUGACAAUUCAUCAAAGACAUUUUAAUUUGCCCUGAGACAGCCACUAUAAACAUUUCAGUUUUUUUUCUUUUGUGUGAGCAGUGCUUUGCCUGCAUUUGUGUCUGAGUGUCUGUGUGGGUGUCUGGUAACUAUGGAAGCCAGAAGAGAGUAUUGGAUCCCUUGGGACUGGAGUUAGAGAUGGUUGUGAAGCACCCUGUGGGUGCUAGGAAUUGAAAGCAGGUCUUCUGGAAGACUAGCCAGUACUCUGAACUGCUGAGCCAUCUCUGCUGCCCUAGAAACAAAAUGUUCUCGGCUCUCCCAUUGUGGAAUCAUUUCUAAUGGUCCUGACCACUACCAAUGUUUACAUUCACUAUUAAUUUUUUUUUUUUUACAGCAGAGAACUAUCAAAUAAGUUCAGGUUUGGAAAUGUUUCCUGACUGUCCUUGAUUCACCAAGUGUAACAUUAGGGUCUGUGGAUACAGACAGGAUUGAAGACAUGACCUUCAUUCACACAGUAAGCAAUUUGAGGCGGGUGCUGUGGGGUUACCUCAUCAGCCAUAAGGCUGCUAGCAGAGUAACCCUCUCUACGUCAGGAACACACAUGACAUUGCUCCAAAUAGUGAGUUGCGUGCCUCUCCUGUCUUUUCUUCAGUUCUGGUCCUUUAUUAGUGAUACUCUAUUGAACAGUAUGGAAAAUGUAGCAUGUAUGUUGUAGAGUAUGUUAUAAUUUUCCUAGCAUUCUAAAGUUUAGUUUCUCAACAUCAGAUUUUGGGGAAAAAGCUGCAUCUUUAUGUUAUAGAUAAUCAAAGCAUAUUGUAAUAUCGAAUGUUAUUUAGAAUAUUGUCUGGGGCUUUUGAAGUUUCUGUAGCUUGUCCAGAAUAAGGUUUCUUUUAGUUGAUAACAUUUACAGAGAUACCUAUUGAUUCCUAAGCUGGGUGCUUUUGAUUGGAGAAGUAUUGCAGAACUUAUGAAAUCCAUUCUCCUUCUUCUUAUUUUAUUUUCUUUCAAAGCCAAACAGGACCUAUAGUUUUACAGUUGCCUUUAUUGAUUUGAUGUUGUUUACUAGAUCAUUCCAGUCAUUUCAAUGUGUUCAAGACUUUUCUUUAAGAGACGCCCCAUCAUAGCCAGAGUUCUAUACAUUGUCUCCAGUUAUAUGCCAAGUUCAAGGGCAGCAGCCUCCCUUCCUUCUCACAGUGGAGGUUUGACCUAGGAAUUGGAAAAUUAAACAGCACUUCACUGCUUGUUAGAACAGUCCCCAUAAGAUAAAUUUGAAGACUUUCUGAGCAUAAUAUUUUUAUAUUACUUUAAAAAUAAAAACAACUGAGAAACACUAUGCUCUCCAGGCUAGUGUUUAUUAGCCUCGUGGAACUGUACACUCCUUUUCCCCAACCAAAAGCUUUCAAGUAGCAGCACACUGUGACUCUUGCUAGACUCGUCCCACAGUAAGAAAGUUUGUUUUUCUGGGUUUCUUUUUCUCCUUAAAAAAAAUCUUGUAAAGCUAGCUUUUCUGACUACUAGGAACUUCAUAGUAGUGAAUUAUUUCUACACGCUGUAAACCCCCCCAGGUCUGACCUCAGGGCAGCAUUUACAAACUGAAGGCUUCUCUGGUUCCUAUGCUUUUUUGCCAUUGUGUGUUCUUAUUUGAUUCUGUGGGUAUCGAACACAGAGGUGCAAGUUAGAGUCCUGUGCAGUCUGGAGCCUUGGAAACUGGGACUUUCAGAGAAGAGGCAGGACAGGUGCAGCUGCCCCGAGUAUCUGGAUAGAUUGGCUGCCCCGAAUAUCUGGAUAGAUUGCUUUUGUGUGACCCUAGAUGUUAACUUUGUAUGUGUCUCCUCUUAUGCCUGAUUUAAAAUGCCCACUUCUCUCCGGAUCACAGAAACAUGGAAACCGUGCACUGCCCGUCUAUCAAAGGUAAUGACCCAAACAUAGCUGUCUGUUUUAGAUAUAAGAGCAAGUAAAAUGGAUAGUUAUUGCUUUUAUUAUCAUUAGACUCGUGUGUGUCAUUUCUACCACACCCUUAGAAAGCUCUAUUUUAGUUAUAAUGAAGAGCUUGCUCUACUGGGCAUAUCUUUGAAAAACAAUUAUUAAUGUUCUGUAUAUAUUCGGACCAACCCCAGCAUCCAUCCCCUGUGUAUUUGACUUGAGUACCAGUUGAAUUGUUUCAUCUGCCUUUGCACUUCCCCUUAAACAGAAGAGAUAUUAGCUCUGGGCAAUCCAAACUGACUUUAUCAAGUCAAUAAGAGCCUUCAGCUUGGCCUCUUCUUUCCCAGGUCUCCUCUCAUUCUGGGGAGUGGGUGGGUGGGGGACAAGAUUUCUAAGCUUAUAUACCUAUGCGUUGGGACUGCAUGUAGAGCUGGGCCUGGCGAGCCAGUCUUUGAGGGCAGGCUUCCUUCAUACAAAGCCACUCAUUUGUAGUCUGCAUGGCACUUAAACCCUUUAAAACUACAAACAAACUCCAGGAAAGUUACAUCAGUCUAAACAAAGACACGUCGCUUAAGUUGUUAUUACACAGUCCAUGACAUUACUUACAUGUCUACCCAUCCACACUACAAUUAUCUUCCCAAUUUGACAAAUGACAUUGCUCUCUGUAAGUGGCUUCAGGAAAAGUGGCAGAAGCCUCCCGUAAGGACAUUAAGGGCAACUCUGCAGGACUGGAAAAGGUUUUCUCAUGCCUGAAAAACAUCCACUCAGGUUUUGUCCUGAAUCUAAAAUAGGGUGUCAAAGCUGUCCCCAAGUGGUUGGGAUCCCACUUUUAAAAUGUAAAUUAUCAGUCUGGGGUGACUGUGUGCUUGGCUGUCUAGAACAUCAGGGGAUAGUAAGUGAAAGCAGUGUUCUAAAUGGAUGUGCUUAAGAAUUCACAGCCCUCAGGACACAGCUAGUAAUUAGUUAAUUAGCCCUCUUAGUACUCUUGCUCUACUAAGUGCUGUCCCCAGAUCUGGUUAAGAGUUUGCCUCAGCGCGCUUCUCGGCAUUUCGUGGUUGUUAAGCAGAAGUCAGACGAAGCCUAUUCUGGACACAUUUUUAUUUAAAAAGCCAGACAGAAGGAUCAGUCCUAAAAGGGAAAAAAUGGCAACUACUUGGAGAAUAAAAGCGAAUGAGGACAAACGCUCCGCACAAGUGUAGAAGCCCAUUUCUCUCCGCAACGGAGCUGCCAAGAGGGCAGAGGGGAGAGGGGCAAACCCACUCAGCGUGGUCUGCAGUGGUUUGGCCUUCCCACGGCUCAGAAGGCCUGGUGGCCAUUUUCUUUCUCCUUUUAUUUUUUUUUUUUCUUUAAGGGAGUAAAGGGAAAUUAAGACGGAAAAAUAAAAACAAAUCUCCCACCCAGUAUCAACAACUCGGCUCCUCCCCCAAAAGAAAAAAAAAAAAAAGCGCAGGUACUAAACCCAAUCCACAUGCAUCCUGCGAAGCUCCCCGCAGUCAACUCGAUUCCCUUUGGCGAGCCGUGCUGAAGGAGACGCGAUCUGGAAAAAAUCAAUCGGAGCUCAGGCCCCGCGCCGCCGCCGCAAUGGCCAGGAGUCAGGGCUGCAGGGCGCUCUGCCGCAGUGCACGUCCGCCGCAGCCGUCCAGUUCCAGUGAAUAAUGGAAGUACGGCGUGGAGACAAUAAAGCUGAUUUAUCACGCAAAAUAACUCACUGCUGCCUCAGCCCAACCCUUCGUCGUGCCGCUUUAAAUCACAAAUGCGCGCACACAGAUCCAUAGGUGCUCACACAUGCACAGUACGUGUGUGUGUGUGUGUGUGUGUGUGUGUGUGUGUGUGUGUGUGUGUGUUCUCGCGCGUGCGCGCCAGGAUCAAAUGGAAGAAUUCAGCUUUGGGUAUAGCGUAUAGGGGGAAAACCAAAAGAGCCUGUCACUCCAAUCCAGUAUCCGCAUCUAUUGCAGCAUAUAGCAAUAGUGAGGGAAUCCAGCGCUAAGGAGCAGUCCGUAAAGACUGGGGUCUUCUGUAAGCAAAGCAAACCCUCCCCCCCCUUUUUUAAGCAGAAAGAAAGAGUAUCGGUAACUGAGGUCAGACCUAAAAUGAUGUUUCUCAGUGCAGUUGAGUGUUGAAGGGUGCAAUGGAAAGUUUCUGGGUGAACAUCUGGUGAAGACAUUCUAUGAACACGUCUGAAAUGAAGAAAGCAGUAAGAGCGUUCUUUUACAGAUCAUCUGGACACAAAAAGGGGGGUGGUGGCAGAGUUGUAAAAACUUUGUUUUCAAAGUGUGUUUUAGUCUUAGGGGUUUUGUGGGCAUAAAGCUAACCCAGUGAGCUGAAGCAGAGUCCUGGGUUCUGUGUUAGCCUAGGCCUGAGGAAGUCUCCCCUUUUGAAUGGCUCCCUUUUCUCUUCUGCAAAAAAUGCAGAAAGUAAAUGGUCUUUCUUGGCACAGUGGCUUCAGGACUCCAUCUAGGUGAUGAGGUUUACUAAAGAGAGAAGGCACGUUCUUCAGGUGGUCUCUGUGCAGGAGAAAGGUAGCAAAAGUAUCAGUCUAGUGGGCCUCAAUUCUUCCUAUGGAGAACUAGCUCUGAGUGUGCUUAGCAUAUAAUGAGUGCACUCUGAGAACGCUAUAUCUAGAGUCACGUGGCUCUCUUUUUUGAGGAAGGGGAAAGACUACCUAGAUCAUCCAAAAGGAUUUGCAGAGUGGGGAAUGUUUUCAAUGUUUCGUUCAUUAGUAACAUGUCUGCAGAAUGUUCAGUCACUUGGAGAAUUCAGAGCAAGUGACAUUUUAGUGGGUAGGAGCUGUGUACUGGGUUGGCUGUUUAGAUUGGCCAAAUUACUGGGAUUGAUUACUCCCUGCCUACCAUUUCAGAAAAUAACUCCAGGCAGAGCAGGGUUGCAUGCAAGGACUGUUGGUGGAUAUUUUUCAUCUGGGUACUGAAGGCUACGGCCAAACCACUUACUGGAGUUGACAUGUGUUAGCUGAGUAAUCCCAGGCAAAUUACUUAGUUGAGUUUUGCCUCAGUUUCCUGCACAGGGACUCAUCUGCAACCAAUUUACAGAUGUGCCAUGAUCAAAUGAGUUAUCUCACGAAAGUGCCUAGACCACAAGGCAGGUGUAAGAAACAAGUUCAUGAGUGCUCAAGGUGAUUAUCACACUACUGUCUGCACAGGACAAGCAAUGGUCAGACAGAACAGAUAGGUGGGUUCUCUGCAGGACCCUUGGGUUUCAGACAAGGGACCUAAGCAGUCAAUCUGUCUUUGAAGGAUGUCGGUGAGAAGCAGGGAGCUCAGCGUUUAUUAUUUUAAGGGAAGGCCAGGCCACCCCUCAAAAGCUCCAAUACCAUGUGAGCUGGAGAGUUUCCUACUUCACCAGAGCAAGGCAAAUGGUCCAUGUUGAUUUUAUCUACAUGUCCAGUAUAGGUUCGCUAUCCAGAUAGGAGGAAGGCAAGCUUUCCCUUGGAGAGACAUUUCUAAGGCUCCAACUCCUGUCCUCCCUAUUCUGAUGCUUUCUUUCUUGUACAACUUGUCACCAUAAGCCCAAUCUCUGUCAUUGAAUUAUGAAGCCAAAACAACCCCAAAUCCCUGGCGUGCUCCUUUGUGUCAUUAUUAGUUUAAAGGAAGAGAGGAAAGCCUGAAUUUCUCUCUCCUUUUAAGGAUCCCCAGGGUGCAUCCUUGAACAAGGGUUUAGGAAGGGUCACAGGAGCGGAAUGCUUAGGGGGCCAAUUGCAUUUGUAUUUGCAGUUUGGGAAUGCAAGCAAGCUGCCUUUAAGCUUUAUAGAGGAAGUAGGGAUUAGGUGUUUCCAGAGCAAGGUAGGCACUGGCAGGCUUAGGUCACCCUUGCUAGAAAGUAAUGCCCCACUUUUUUCUGUGCACUUCGGAGCCCCAGGUGCAUUAACUACUUUACCAGGGACUAUGGUGUGACAGCUUAGAUCUGGCAGACCUGGAACUCCCCAAGUAGAAUGGAUGACCCUGGGACUUCUAUGUUGCCUGAUUUUAUGCUCCAGGGUUAAGUUCUACUUUAGCCAGAAAGGGUCUGGAGAGAAAAAAUUGAUGCCUUCCAACUUGCUAGUGUGAGCCCACAAUUGCACUUGGUCAAUCUCAUUAACAAUGUUUCCAAAACAAAUGAAUAAAAAUACAGAGCAGAGCAUGCCUGCUUGCCUUGCUUCUGGCCUUUUGGCCUGUCACAUUGUUCUAGCAGCCCAGGACCUCACAUCAUUAUCUCAGAAGCACAACUAUCCCCUUAAAGAGGCUGUAAGUUUUAGUAAGGAAAUCUAGUAUACUUAUACUUUAAGUAUAUGUUUUGGAAAUCCAACGUGAGAAACCUAUUUCCCCCAUUCCUAAGAACCUGACACCCUAUCCUGCCUGUUAUGGCCUUCUGGGCUUCAGCCUCUGAGCAUCCCUGUAGGGGUUUUGUGAAGCAGCAGGUUUUCUCAGUUUCCGGGGAGAAUUUCGAGGAGAAUUUGAGUAUAAAUUCAAUUCUGACUCUCACUCUCAUCCCCACCCAUUUGGACCACGGGUAUCUUCUAUUUUAGACCCAGAGAAGAGCAGAGUCUCGACGAGUGGAGGCAAGGAACUGGAGGAACAGAAGCUGAGGCCAAGGUCAAGACUGUGGCUGAAGGAGGUGGCAGCUAGGUGCUGCCCUCUGGCCCAGGAGUUGACCUCGACUUGCUGAAGUCCUGAGCAACGCUCCGGGAAGGGGGAAGGGGGUUGGGGGAAGGGGGAGGGGGAAGGAGGGAGAGCCACGGCUGACCAGCCCUCGAUCUUUGGAAGCUGAAGCCCACUGAGAGCCUUUUAGUAGUUGUCCUGAAAGGAAGAUCGGCUGUUAAGCACAGCUGAACUUCGAAAGGCGCUCUCUGGCGCGACUUCUUUCCCUGUUAAAGAUUUGGGAGAGGCCUGAGCCCUGACGUUUCUAUCUCCCCCAACUCCCGGGAAACCCGAUCUAAUUGUUCACUAAUUCUCCAUUAAUAGGCCCUCUACCUCGGCAGCCGGUCCUCAGUGGCUUAGGUGAUGGAGCGAGUUUAUCAGUCUCCUCAUAGGGAAAGUGUUGCACGAGUUUGAAGUAUUGUAAGCAGUUACAAAGUAACCCCAAAACAAAGCAGAUACAAACCCAAACCAAAGGCCAACCAAAAUGAAAAUAAAAUGCCCUCUUUACGGCACAAAAAGCCUUAAGUGUGCUCACUCUUGCUCAGUCAUUUGAGUCCUUGAACCGCACAGGAAAACAGCUCUUCCAGGCCUUCUGGAGGACAACUUAAUGACACUGCAGUAUAUCAUCAGGUUAAAACGUUUUCCAGAGCAGGGUUUCAGAGAAGCAUCUUUGCCACUAAGGGUGGAACGUCUGCUUACAGAGAGGGCUGCCUGCAGGAAUGGGGGAAAGGCUGGGUGCAGCCCAACUAUAAGCCCAAAGUUUUCAACUUUGGGAGCACAGUACUGGGUACUGUGGGCCGUGGAGUGUCAGCCUCUGGAGCAGACAGGACUGUAGGCUGAGCUGUUUCCCACUGCUUGCUGCAACUCUGCAGCAGACAUUGUCCUCUCCUAUUGCCUGACUGACUGACUGACUGACAACUGACUGAUCAUAACCCUUCCUUCUAAUGCCCAAAGUUCCUGCCUCUUUGUGCUUGGCCUUAAGUCAGGCCUGUUCCCCACAUAUUUACGUGUGAUAAGCUCUUGCUCUUUGGCUGGCUGAAGAACCCAGAAUGUAAAGGUGUGUGUUUGGGGGAAGGGGCACAGCAGUCUAUCACCCACAUUCAUUUAUGCUUUUCAAGGGGAAAGUGGCAGAGUUCUGUACUUUCUCAGACAGGAGAGCUUGUGGAAGCCAUAACAGUGUUCAGAUUUCAUGUGUCUAAAUCUCCACUCAAACCCUCUUAGCAAACACAACCCAAGCCGAACAUUCCUAGUCCUCCAGGGGUUUCCACACUGUUAGGUAGUGUCUUCUUAAAUUAUCUCUUGGAAAGAGGAUACCAACUUUCAGUAAACCAGUAAGUGCUCCCUUGCUCCUGGUAAGUUAUAUUCAUCAAGUGUGGGCUACAAGCUAGUCAUUCAAGACCUUGGCCCAGGUCUCAACCCUGGAAUAGGAAUGAAGACUUCAUUUAUGGCUUGGGGGGGGGGGGGACCCUUUUCAUCCAGUUUACCAAGGAGGAAGAGUGCUGAGUGCAAUGUGGGCACCCACUUUGUAGGAGACACAAUCCAUCCACCAGCUUUGCUAACAUUGGAAGCACAAUCUCAACAUGUCCACCAUUCUCUGCAUAAAUGCCCUGGUAGGGGACCAGAUCACGAGGCCUUUGUGGUUUCUGUCUCUUUUACCCACCAGCUCGGUGAAUAAAUCACACACCUGCCCUCUCAAAAGAGGCCAAAUCCAGUUUCUGCCUCCCAGGGAGUAUGAAGAUCACUUUUGUUGGAGUUACUGCCCAAAGCAAUUGCUUGAAGUUUUAAGACUCACGUAGAGACUAGGCCUGGUGAUAUUCCUGCUAAAGUUAACCCUAGGGAAGAGUGCAGUGCUGGAAUUCCAAGAUCAGAGUGUUAAAAUGGGUCUCAAUGUAAUGGUUCCAUAACAGUAUUUUCUAUUUCUCGUAUUCCCUUCUUAGGGGCGGCACAUCUGAAGCACAAGAGACUAAUAGAUACACUCCAACUUUCCUCAAGAUAAAAGCUGCCACUAAAUGGAGUUGCAACCAAGCGUCGCAACUGCACAUACCCCGUUGCCAUUGUUUAUUUAAAUUUACCCCAACAGUUAUUUUAUGGACUUGAGGACGUGUAACAGGUUCUAAUUGGUAGGGGGCGGGGAAAGUCUAGUCAGGUGUCUUUUACUGUUUUCCGAUCAAAGAAAGAGUUUGGGUAAAAGAGUAAGCUUUUUGCAGUGUAUUUUCUAAGCAUUCUUUUCAGUGGCUGUAGGCUUUCCUUCCCUAGACCUCUAAGAGUCAUACAGUUCCGCUUUCACUUUUCCUCCCCACAGCCUCGCUAACACACUCUCCCGCCUGUCCCAGGCCGCUGGUACGGAGCGGAGGACCCCCACGAUUCCCCCUAACCUAACAUGCUCAACUUCAGAAGCUUCUAGGAGAAAAUGUCUUCUUCGCGAAGUACAGUCGGAGCAAAUCAUCCACCUAGAGUUCCCUCCGCUGCUGCAGUAGAAAGGACUUCGGUUGAUCUUCAAGCUGGAACCCGCGCACGGGACGUAUCCGCCGGUGGCCGCAGCGGAGCAACCCAGGCCGGAGGUUGGCGCCGCCCUACACGUCCUCCCGCCCCGCGGGACAUCCCAAUGACCCGGUCACUCAGCGCCCAGCCACCGUGGGACCCCACUCUCCUUCCCUACUCUGUUCCGUCUCUCGAAGUGCCCCCAGCCCAGCUGCAAUGUGAUCACUCCCGACACCCGGCUCCAUCGCGUAUAACCCCACGCGGGUGAGCUGGGAUUCGAAUAUGGGAACUCAAUUUCGCAACGAAAAAGCUCAGGGCCAGGACCGGGUCAGAGGGAAGAAAGACCUUGAAGAGACCGCCCAGGGUGCAGAUAGCAGGUCCUGAGGAGGCGGUCUGCGGUUCCCUAAGCAGACUCUGCAGGUGCACCCUGCUGCUUCUCUUGCAAGUCUUUUGAGGUUUGACCUUUUAGAGCUUUGUAAAGUUGUCUCUCCCCGCCCCUCAAUCACGGGGUCACACUAGGGAUCACACUGUCCUCAGUCCUCUAGUCCCAUUGCUGACUUUGGGGAAAGGGGUAUAAGAAUGAGGGUGGCCUGGGCCGCAGGACUAUUGGGGUUCGAGCACCGCUCUGGAGCGCCACGCUGGGCAGAGAGCGCUCAGAGCUCGAUCACUACGCUCUACCACUUGGGAAGUGCAGCUUAAUCGUUCAGCUCCGCCCACCCCGGAGGAGCGGGGGUGGGGUGGGGGUGGAAGGGGGGAGUGAGGUCGGGGGAGAAAAGAACAGAGAGAGAGAGAGAGAGAGAGAGAGAGAGAGAGAGAGAGAGAGAGAGAGAGAGAGAGAGAGAGAGAGAGAGAGAGAGAGAGAGAGAGAGAGAGAGAGAGAGAGAGAGAGAGAGAGAGACUGGUGACCCGGGUUCUCUUCUUUCAAGUUCCCCUAAGCGAAGCAGGGCGCCACCUACAGUCGAGUUCUAACUAGCACGUUGGUGAGAAGGCUGGUGAACCUUUCCUAAACAAGGCCGGAUUUUGGGCACAGCCAUCUCAUAUUUGUAAUCACUCCAGACCGAUCGGUCUGUUGGCAGGCAGCAACAGACGAGACCAUACCGAAAAUGCGCGUUGGAGGCGUGCAGAAGUUGGGAAACAGAACAGUACUAGCUCUGAUUGGACUUGUUCGCGCUCUAAUGGUUUGGCUGGAUUUUGAUUCCAGUAUCUCCUCCAGGUUUCAGCCAAGGAGAGCAGCAGUCAAUUUCAUUAGGAAGAGUAUCUGUGUGACCUUAAACAAGUCGCUCCGUCAUUCACUCUCCUUUCUCAUCUCCUUUAGAACUAUAGCUGUGAUAGUUUUUUUUCCCCCUAAAUUAAUGAGACAAAGUAGGUGAGAAACUGCUGGUGCUAAGAGCUCCUACCUAUUUUUAAAGGAGGGGAAACCUUCUGAAAAAUAAAACUUUAAAGCCAUUGAAUAUGUGUUUUCUGCUCCAUGAAAGAUUAGGUCUUUAUAAGGAAGAGAUGAGAAAGCCAGCCAAGUGGCCCCAAUAACUGAUUCAAGCACUGGCUAUUGGCUCUUCUCUCUAGCUAAUCUCCUCAUAGACAAAGGAAACAUAUUAAUGGCUGGCUGUGACUACUUAAUUACCAUUUUGUUUUAUAAAUUGUUAAUUACCACGUGGAUGUCAUAUGAUAUACAUUAUCCCCACUGUAAAGACAAGGACAUACAGUUCGGAGAUGAAAGUUAUAUCUGUAACUUCAGCAGACCCAAGUCUGUUUCUGAACCUGCUUUUGAUGUGUAGUAUUAAGUACUGGGAGAUCAGGCUAGGAGUUUUUCCAUAGGAAGUCACAUGAUUUUUCAUAGCACCUUGGAGAAGAACUGAGGGUUCCUGAAAGGGGGAAUGGAGGGCCAGGGAGGUCAAGGAUGUCACUUUUGUGGGAGGUGUAGAGGCAAGGGUUUGUUUCCUCUUACAAUUCUAGGUUAUGUGGGUCAGUAAAGGAAGGCAGGGUGAGAACCUGGAAACAGGAACCAAAGUGGAAGCCAUGGGGGAAAGUGCUUACUGGCUAGUUCUUGGCGUCCCUGCCUGUUUUUUCCAAGGGAGUCAUUUUCAGAAGUGGCAGAGAAGGGUCACAGGGAACCUUCCUCUGACUACACGUAAGUGACCUGUACUGGCACCUGUGUCGGGACACUUGUAAGACUUAUCAAGAUAAGCCAGGCAGGAGAAUUGGAUGAGCUGUGCUGAAGGGACUGUAGCCUAAGCAGUGGUAACUAUUGUAGAGUUUCCUUAGGAAAUCUUGACAGUGGAAGAAAGAGCCCGGCAUGGGGGCAGUAGGAAAAGCCAGAGAUAGACUGACUUAUACUUCUAUUAAUAUAAUUAGUCUGCGCUUACCUCAUGGCCUACACAGCCAAAUUUCAUCAAACAGCCCAAUGAAAAGUUUAAUAGAGCAAUUGCUGUCCUGGCAUCUGAACUACAGCAGUUGGGCUCUGUUGUUCUUGUUAUGGGAAUAUAUACAUUAAGUUUGCCCCCAGCUCAACCCUGGGGCUUCAUGAAUGCUGGGCAAGUGCUCUACCAUUGAGCUAGAGUUCAAGGCCAACACUGCACUUUUUUUUUUUUUUAAAAUAUCGACUAUGUUACUGCUUUGUGUCCUUGUAAUAUUAGAGUCAUUUCUUUCUUUUUUCUUUUUCUUUUCUUUUCUUUUUUCUUUUUUUGUAGUGGCAUUUCAUAAUGAAAGGUUUGGAUUACACAGAGAAGCAAAUUACACUGCUUUCAGCAUUUUGGGGUUACCACUGUGGAAAAUUAUGCAUGAGCUUCCCUUCCUAUCCAUCAAAGCGUAAAACCCAAACCAUCAUUCCUACCCAUAGCACUGCCUCUACACUAACUAGUAGAAUAGCCAGACUUAUCAGAGGGCCUCGACGCUGUGAAAAUGGCUUGGCCUAUAAACUUAUCUGUGCACAAGUGUGACCUGAGCUCAAUCUCCAUAUCUGUGUCAAAGAGUAACUGGGGAGAAAAGAUCUGCAGGGCUGCUGGUCAUCAGUCAAGACCAAUUGGCAAGUUCCGGGCUCAGUACGAGAUCCUGUGUCAAAAACUAUGAUGGGAAGUUACUGAGGAAGACACUUAACAUUGACCUCUGGCUUCCUCCUCCCUCUCUCUCUCUCUCUCUCUCUCUCUCUCUCUCUCUCUCACACACACACACUCACACACACUCACACACAUACACACACUCACACUUACACACACACACACAUACACACACACACGUAUGUACAUGAGUCCGUAAAGUGAAGCAACAGAUAGUUUAGCUGGAGCAUUGUCCAUAAACCAGGCAUCCAUCCUCCUGCCAGCUCCAAGUAUAAUCCUUCUACUUGCCAAUACAUGACUAGGAGCCCAGACUUUGGCUAGUUGUCUCCACUUUCCACAUAGUGACAGUGUUUCUAAUAACCUAAUAGACUUUCAUUUUGAAACACAUGGCACAAAGAAAUCCAUUAGCAGAAGAGCCCUACUGGGUACCUAAUGCUUUAAAGUCAUGCAGUAAGGUCAGGUGGCCAGGUUGUCAGUUUGUUUAUUUACUUUUUUGGUGACUCAUUGGUAAUUAAGAAGGCUUUGUUGUAAGAAGAGGCAGGUGACAGAAUUUUAGAGUGUGCUUUAUGUGUCCCAUGUUAUUCUGUUUUUUAGCAGAACUACAAAGAAAUAAAAGAGUGUUUCUUCUUGGAAGUUUGAGAUACAAGUUUUAGGGUAGAAACUUCCUCUAGGCUCCCAUUCUAGGGUCCAGACCUUAAUUUUGCUAUAAUAAAACAAUGCAACAAAUCUCAAA